rnacentral:rRNA from 1 species
AACGAACGCUGGCGGCAGGCCUAACACAUGCAAGUCGAACGCCCCGCAAGGGGAGUGGCAGACGGGUGAGUAACGCGUGGGAAUCUCCCCAGAGGUACGGAACAACUCAGGGAAACUUGAGCUAAUACCGUAUGUGCCCGAGAGGGCAAAGAUUUAUCGCCUUUGGAUGAGCCCGCGUUGGAUUAGCUAGUUGGUGGGGUAACGCCUACCAAGGCUACGAUCCAUAGCUGAUCUGAGAGGAUGAUCAGCCACACUGGGACUGAGACACGGCCAGACUCCUACGGGAGGCAGCAGUGGGAAUCUUGGACAAUGGGCGAAAGCCUGAUCCAGCCAUGCCGC